rnacentral:ncRNA from 22 species
AUAACAGAGGUUCCUAGCCGAAACCCUCUAUAAAAAACUAGACAUGA